GGUCACCCUGGACAGGUGGUGAAAACUGCUAAGCUUGAGUACGGUAGGGGCAGAUGGAAUUUCCUGUGGAGCGAUGAAAUGCGUAGAUAUCUGAAAGAACACCAACGGCGAAAGCACUCGGCUGGGCCGACACUGACACUGAGAGACGAAAGCUUGGGGAGCGAAUGGGAUUAGAUACCCCGGUAGUCCUUACCGUAAACGAUGGAUGCUAAGUGGCUGUGGGUUUCCACCCUUGCAAGCUUGUACCUAACGCUUUAAGUUUCCCGCCUGGGGAGUACGUUCCCAAGAAUGAAACUCAAAGGAUUUGACGGGGGGCCCGCACAAGCGGGGAACCAUGUGGUUUAAUUCAAUGCAAAGCGAAAAAACCUUACCAGGGCUUGACAUGCAUGAAUCCUCUUGAAAUAAAGGAGUGCCUUCGGGAAUGCGACACACAGUGGUGCAUGGCUGUCCUCAGCUCGUGCCGUGUGAGUGUGUGGGUUAAGUCCCGCAGCGAGCGCAACCCUCGUGUUUAGUUGCCCACGUUUAGUUUGGAACUCUCUAACAGACUGCCGGUGAUAAGCCCGAAAAAGUGAGGAUGACAUCAAGUCAUCAUGCCCCUUAUGCCCCUGCUACACACGUGCUACAAUGGACCGGACAAAC
rnacentral:rRNA from 1 species